GUGCGCGCGCGCGCGUUGCUGCUUUGCGAGCGUUUUGCUUGUGCGCGCGUGCGUGCGUUCGUGCGUGUUUUCUGAGUACUUUGCGUGUGUGCGUGCGCGCGCGCAUACGUGUUUUGUGAGCGCUUUGCGAGUGCGCGUGCUUGUAUGCGGGUCUCGAUGUGCUUGCACGUGCGUGCGUUCGUGCGUGCGUGUUUUGUGAGUGCUAUGUAUGUGCGUGCGCGCGCGCGUACGUGUUUUGUGAGCUUUUUGCGGGGGCGCGCGUGCUUGUGUGUGUGUGUGUGUGUUUGUGUAUUGAAUAAAGUCGGUAGUUUUACACAAAAUAAACCUCUUCAAAAUUGGUGCAGCGCCUGUCCCCGCCCUGAAAACCGAGUUUGGUGUCGAGCCACCCUGGAAGCCACCCUGGGUUAUAUAGAGGCGCCGGAAGACCAGUGGAAGGUGUCAUCCAGAUGACAGCCUCACAAUUCGCAGCCUUUGUGCUCUCCAUCAGAAACCCAUCUGGGGCAAGCCACUUAUGUUUGCCUUCAGACAAGACAACAUUGAAGCAGGAUUCCAGCACAGCCAUCUCCUGCACUUAUGCUCAAGAUGCACAGACAAUGGAGUCCCUGUUCCGUGUGGUUAACCGUGAACAGUAUUCUCGCUUUUAUGAAAGCUA